rnacentral:rRNA from 1 species
CCUACGGGUGGCUGCAGUGAGGAAUAUUGGUCAAUGGGCGGGAGCCUGAACCAGCCAAGUCGCGUGAGGGAAGACGGUCCUAUGGAUUGUAAACCUCUUUAGGCGGGGAGCAAUGCCGGGCACGUGUGCCCGGAGGGAGAGUACCCGCAGAAUAAGCAUCGGCAAACUCCGUGCCAGCAGCCGCGGGAAUACGGAGGGUGCGGGCGUUAUCCGGUUUGAUUGGGUUUGAAGGGUGCGUAGGCGGGUUUUUAGGUAAGCGGUAAAAUGUCGGGGCUCAACCCGGGCCUGCCGUUGAAACUGGGGAUCUUGAGUGGGCGAGAGGGAGGCGGAAUGCGUGGUGUAGCGGUGAAAUGCAUAGAGAUCACGCAGAACUCCGAUGGCGAAGGCAGCAUACCGGCGCCCGACUGACGCUGAGGCACGAAAGCGUGGGGAUCGAACAGGAUUAGAUACCCUAGUAGUC